UCGCAAUAAAAGUUAUGUCGAUAAUGACGAUAAACCUCAAACAUUUUUUACUCGAUAUGGAUGGAUCUAGCAGCUUAUAGCCACACAGCAGAAAUAAACGUGACAACAGCCAGUCAGUCUGCAGUUUUUAGCUCGCACGUCAAAGUACAAGCCCAUUUACUACAGCAAAGUGUUGUUUGAGCUACUGGUGAAGAAAGUGGAUGUCCUCUGGAAAAGAGGAAAAAAAGUGGAACUGAGGGGCAAGAAAGCGUUAUGAUGACACUUCAGCACCUCUAGGUGCUGAGUCUGUCCCUGGGUGAACAGUGAACCCAGGCUGGCGAAAAGGGACAAACUCCGCCACAUCUGCCGACGAGGCUACGCUAGCGCUAACAUUAGCAGAGCUACAGUUGGAGUGCCUGUCACGUCUAAAGUCACAUUAGCCGAAAAAAGCUGCUAGCACAAUAAUGGACAGAAGAGGUCUGCCGCGACUGAAGAGAAGAGAUGGAGACAGAAUGACAAAAAAAUCAAAGCAUCUGAGAGAGUAAAGAGGCACGACAACAACCCCGAACAAAGAACUAUCUUCAUCAACAAGAAGCACAAGGAGUCCUGCAACAGAUGGUUUGGCCCCCACAGAGCCCUGA